GCCGGGCACAGUAGCACAUGCCUGUAGUCCCAGCUCCUCAGGAGGCUGAGCAGGAGGAUCAUUUGAGGUCAGGAGCUCUGGGCUGAAGUGGACUAUGCCAGUUGGGUGCUGGUGCUAAGCUCUGCAUCAAUAUGAUGAUCUGCCAGGAGGCCACCAGGUUACCCAAAGAGGGGGGUGAACUGGCCCAGGUUGGAAACAGAGCAGGUAAAAAUUCCUGUGCUAAUCAGUAUUGGGGUGCAGCCUAUGAAUAGCUAUUGCACUCCAGCCUGGGCAACAUAGCAAGGCCCUGUUUCU
ensembl:misc_RNA Metazoa_SRP Metazoan signal recognition particle RNA